rnacentral:rRNA from 1 species
AUUGAACGCUGGCGGCGUGCCUAACACAUGCAAGUCGAGCGGUAACAGGUGUAGCAAUACAUGCUGACGAGCGGCGAACGGGUGAGUAAUGCUUCGGAAUCUACCUUAUGGUGGGGAAUAACUAGCCGAAAGGUUAGCUAAUACCGCAUACGUCCUACGGGAGAAAGCAGGGGAUCGCAAGACCUUGCGCCAAAAGAUGAGCCGAAGUCGGAUUAGCUAGUUGGUAGGGUAACGGCCUACCAAGGCGACGAUCCGUAGCUGGUCUGAGAGGACGACCAGCCAAACUGGGCCUGAGACACGGCCCAGACUCCUACGGGAGGCAGCAGUGGGGAAUAUUGGACAAUGGGGGAAACCCUGAUCCAGCGACGCCGCGUGUGUGAAGAAGGCCUGCGGGUUGUAAAGCACUUUUAGUGGGGAUGAAAUGUGCAGGGUUAAUACCUCUGCAUUUUGACCUAACCCACAGAAAAAGCACCGGCUAACUCUGUGCCAGCAGCCGCCGUAA